rnacentral:rRNA from 1 species
AUUGAACGCUGGCGGCAUGCUUUACACAUGCCAGUCGGACGGCAGCACAGAGAAGCUUGCUUCUUGGGUGGCGAGUGGCGAACGGGUGAGUAACAUAUCGGAACGUACCGAGCAGUGGGGGAUAACUAAUCGAAAGAUUAGCUAAUACCGCAUAUUUUCUGAGGAAGAAAGCAGGGGACCUUUGGGCCUUGCGCUGUUUGAGCGGCCGAUAUCUGAUUAGCUAGUUGGUGGGGUAUAGGCCUACCAAGGCGACGAUCAGUAGCGGGUCUGAGAGGAUGAUCCGCCACACUGGGACUGAGACACGGCCCAGACUCCUACGGGAGGCAGCAGUGGGGAAUUUUGGACAAUGGGCGCAAGCCUGAUCCAGCCAUGCCGCGUGUCUGAAGAAGGCCUUCGGGUUGUAAAGGACUUUUGUCAGGGAAGAAAAGGGCGGGGUUAAUACCCCUGUCUGAUGACGGUACCUGAAGAAUAAGCACCGGCUAACUACGUG